rnacentral:lncRNA from 1 species
UAAAUGGAAACGUAACGAUGUAUGUACCGAUUUUUCUGAUCGACAAUUUGUGCAUUUUCUGAUCACGCAGAAAAAAAUACCGAAUGAUUAUUUUAUAUCCGAUUUUGAACACGAGCUUUGUGUUCCCAGCCACCAGGAGUCACUGUCGGCUUUCCAUACCCGCAAUUGUGGUAAAAUUUCUGUCGCGCGUUUUUGUUUUCAUUUAUUUAUCGUUUAAAUUUCAUUCGAGAGGGAAUUUCCGCGCAGCUACGACUCGGUUCCUACCCGUAAAGUCCACGGUCUGCGCAUUCGCCAGGUGGUGAUUAGGUGGAAGACGGCUUUUCGUGUCUGCUUCGGUGGUACCGUCGACCGAUAAAAACAGUCUUUUAUGGUUGUAUUUUGGGACCUGCCGGUUCGACCCACAAUAUUAACACUGGCCGUCAGCGGUUAAACAUAACCUAUCUUUAUUAAAGAUAACGGAUAGGGUAGAAAUAGUCGAUGAAAAUAGAAUUUGCCAUAAUACGACAUCUGGUGUCGGCGGCUCCAACUAAACCGGAUAGGAUUUCUCAUUUAGUUACGGAUGGGAGACGAUUGGUAGCUGGGCGGAAACUCUAAUAUUUUUUGAGAUUGGGAAAUGUGGGAAACUUUUACUAUAAGACAAUAUCCAUAAUCCGAAAUCCGUAACUUACAAGUUAGUUUCCUUAGCGGGAGAUCUUUGGAAUAGACUGCGCCGCCAAAGAUAAUGCGCUAGUGCGCGCUGUGAUUAUUGGUUAAACCUUAAAACAUCAAUCGAUGCACGGUGCCUAAGACUACUUAUUUUCUAUUACGCUAUUUAUAUAUGGCAGAAAGUCUGAUAACCAAUCUUUUUCUCACCUUUCCAAUAUAUUAUUAAGUGACCGUAUUUAUUCCAACAGGAAAAAGUUUGGAAAAUUUUAAAACGUUAUAAAAGAAAUUACGGAUUUAGUUCAACGCAUUUCGUAUUGUCGUAAAGCUGGAAAGGUGGCCACGGACGGGUUUUUUGUUGUAUACGGGUUUCGAAUUCUUAUCGAUUUUCUAACUCCGAAUUAAGAGGGUCGGCUUAUACACGAAUAUAUACACGACGUUAACCAUAUAUUCUGUACUAUCCGGCCUUGUAUUUUUACCAGUUCAAAUAAUAUCUUUUAUUAACAAUUCCAGUUUAUAUAGAACAAUCGCUCGUAGUUUUUUGAGAGAACCGCAGUAUUAUUAAGAAUAGAAUCUUCUUUUUUAGUCAAAAAUCGAUGCUAGAAUACUCUUCGCUUCAAAAUGCGAACACGGCCACUUUAUUUACCGAAAUAGAUAAUUUAGCAUUUUAACGUUUUAGCCACGAAGUAUGGGCCGAAAUUAUCCAGUUUAUUUUCACUAAGUGUAAUACAAACCUACAUUUUAUCGCGCGCCACCGUACCAGUCGUCUAAACAGAGAAAAUGGCUGCAUCUAACGAUAAGGGAAACGAAAUUCUACCAACGCUCCUAACUGGAAAGGAUGGCUAAAAAAACUGUCAAUCCAAGGGUUUCUGGAUCGACCCGUCGAUCGACAGUUUCUGGCAAACUUAUUUUUAUUAUUAUUUUUUAUCGAUAGUAACUAAUACCAGGAAUAAUUUUUCGAAAGAGGGGAAAAACGGUAGAAUAGUCAUUUUGUUUUGUACUACGGCAAUAAACGGAUAAAUGGGGCACGACCAAUUAAGACUCCUCCGGCAUAGGCCAUAACUGUCGGUCGAUAGUAAGAGCCAGGAUAAUAGCGCGUAAAUGGUACACCAGUUUGGUAUUAGGAAGGCCAUUACCUAUCUGGCGCUAGCCGGGCAGACUAUAAAUACUUUUAAUCCGAUUUUAAGUAAAUCGGUAACGAUUCACCUCGGUAACGGUGGAAUAGCGGUCGGCUACAAAUGGGGAAACUAUUCUGGUAUAAGUCAGGAAUAUUUUUUUCUCUUUGCAGCCGUGGACCAGGUAAAGGAAGAAUCGAUCGGUACCCAACCAGAGGCGGAGACGACUAC